GGUAGUAGAAAAUAUUCAAAUGAGAACUUUGAAGACUGAAGUGGGGAAAGGUUCCAUGUGAACAACACUUGGACAUGGGUUAGUCAAUCCUAAGAGAAGGGGAACCCCCUACAAAUAAUCAAAUACGAUUCAUACUUCACAAUUGACCUGUCACAAUAAUGAAUACAUGAUCUCUUACAUAUAGUUGUUCACAGUUGCACAUGAGGCCCAUUUACUACUAGGC
rnacentral:ncRNA from 1 species